rnacentral:lncRNA from 11 species
AAAGAGAAUAAGGAUGGAGAGUAUGUCGGAGGGAAGAGGGGCAAUCAGAAGAGUACCGUCACGGGAGUUGGCUAGUUAAAGUUGAUUAAAGUUAUGUCGUGGUACCGUCAGUUGAGCCAAAGUGAAAAGAAGAGGAUCAUCUCCAGACGGUUGCGUCGUGGCGAGAAAUCUUCGUGGGAUCUUUCACGGUUGAGCAAGGGAGGAACGUGUUCUGCGCGUCUGUCCCGGAUAAGUAUCGGAGCAACAGAAAAUCGCCUCGCUUCUCUUACGAUUUAGCACAAUGUAAUUUGACCUGAACAUACUGUAAUGUAAUCAUUGAAUGUCAAGAUUGCUUGAAAAAAAAAAGAAGGAAAGAAGGGAGAAGAACAGAAGAUAAGGAAAUGGAUUUGCCAAGAUAUAUGGGUCUCGAUAAAACUAUCGUUUGUUUCUUUAUCGCGUGCUACUUUUCUUACGACGCAGUCUGGUCGAAAGAGGAUACCAAUCAUGUAAAAAUUUUAAUCUCGCAAACGACCGAAUACUUCGAGCGUGCUAAAAACGCUCCAAGAUAGGAUUUAAUAUACUCAUCGUUGAUUGAUAACUGACGACGUUUACAAUUAUCAACAUGCGAUACUAUCUGCAUUGCAUUCACGGUUAAUCGUACGUUGACCUUAUCCGAAAGAAAAAUAAAUCCUACAGAUUUGAUCACCAAUUCAAUUCUAUUCGUUUCCAUCAAAGGCUUUCAGUUCUCCAGGCUUUAAUCGACACAGUCGCGGACGUAAUUGAAGGGAAAGCUAAGCAAGCAAAUCGCGAUGAAUUCGCUGAAUGAACGAUAACACGGUAGUACUCAGUGUUUCUCCAAGUGUCGCAGAAUCGAUCAUUCGUCAAGAAAAAAAUCACAUACACGUAACGUGUUGCAAUUUCUUUAAAAAUAUCGAUAAAAUUCCUUUAUCGAGAGUUCUUGUUAUUAAUCGUCAUUAUGAUCACGUUACUUUUCCACAAUAUUUUUCGCACUUAGCGCAAGAUGUAACGUAGAAAAGAGGUCAUAUACAUAUAUCUGAAUGCCAAGCGUAUUUACAUUUAUCGGUAUGUCAACCAAACGAUACAUUUCAACAGGAGCGAGAUAAUCUGCUCUUACGAUGAAAAUGUGAACUAGUUAUCUAUUAGUCAGUUACUAAACACAAUGUCAUGACAAACAUGAAAGAGUAACAGCACGGACGAAGUAUGCAUAACGUACGGCUAAUAUACAUCAAGAAACUUCGUAUUUCAUCGAUUUAGAACGGUGAAUUCGAGAAAUUGUAUUUGUGGCAAUAGCUAAGCCGCGGAUGUUUAUACAUUUCUGAAAAAUUUAAAGACGUACAAAUCUUUAGACUCUCUCUAUAUGUAAAAUGUAAAAAUAUGUAAAAUAUGUAAAAUGAUCUCUAUAUGUAAAAAAAACAUAUAACAUAUUCAAAGCAUAGUGUUUCAUAUAACGUUUAGCAUUUGAAACAAAUUAUCACAUAGAUUUUACUUUUUCAGUUAAUAAUGUAACUAAAUUUGCAUAAACACUGGUGGUCUAGUAAUCACUGAAGUUACAAAAUAUCUAGUGCCGUAUCGCGUGAAAUAAAUCAUUCAUCAGUGAUCAUUAUUUGCAUUCUUGUACAUACAAUUACGUCUGCGUAAAAUUAACCCGUACAUAAUACAUUAAACAGACAAUAAUAAAUAACUUUGCGCAGUUAUUAAAGAGUUUCGAGAAAAUUCAACGUUAUGUUUAUUUACGAAUUUCUUAUUCUUCAAAUUUACAAAACCAAGCACGAGAUCUUGGCCUUCUUUAUUAAAUUAAACUUAGAUAUUAGUAAUACGAUAACUACAAACAUUAGCCUAUGGUCUAAUUGAAUAAAGCAUGUAGCGUUUCUUCAUACCAGUUGUUCAUUCAUAUAAUUA